AAGAUUUUAAUUGAAUGCUAAAAGAAUGGAAAUUUAAAAAAAAACUUUUUUAAAAAUAAAAAUUGAAUUUUUUUUAAUUUGUGCAAAAACAAUUAUUAUUAUUAAAGACAAGAAGACCCUAAGAAUUUAUGAUUUUGCAAUUAGAAUUUUUUUCAAAAAAUCUUGAUUGGGGCGAUCAAAAAAUAUUAAUAACUUUUUAAAUUUAAAUUGAUCUAUUAUUAAUAAACUAAUGAAUUAAAUACUCUAGGGAUAACAGCGUAAUAAUUUUUGAUAGAUCUUAUUGACAAAAUAGUUUGCGACCUCGAUGUUGGAUUAGGAUCCUUUUUUAAUGAAAAAGUUAAAAAAAGAAGUUUGUUCAACUUUUAAAUUCCUACUU
rnacentral:rRNA from 1 species